CUAAUCGUAUAAUUCUUAUGUGUCUUGCGUGGAUUUGACGUUCGAUUUGGCGAACCAGAAGUGCAAAUUAACGGCCGUGGUCGGCGUUGAAACGUGACUUCGGAUGGGCGGGCGCGUUCACGGACGCUUACGGUCAUCAACGACAAAGGCUUGGUCGCGACGCAGCGCAUCCCGGUGCAUCGGUGCUUAUCGCUCCACCACAUACCGUGGGCAAUUCGCGUGUAAUUAGCGGUAUACUCGAGGUUAUGGAAAUUCUAUGACUCAAAAGCUUUACGACUUGACGAAUUUUAUAAAUAGAAUACGCGAAACCGACUAAGCGACAGUGAGCUAUCGGUUAUUGUAUGUCGAUUCAAAUUUGCUCAUUUCCGGUGAAUGGAGAACGCUGUGACGUUGAACGUUCGAAGAUGAAGCUGACGUUAGAUCGUGUGGAUUUCACUGACGAUUUCAUGGUUUUCGCACUUUGUGUACGAGCAGCGGGAAAGAGGCGAGUCGCGGCGAAUAGUACGAUGACGCGAUGCAUGAUUAGAGGCGUCCUUCGACUUACGUAACAGUGAUUUUACACGCGUUCGGUUUCGUUGUUUACUCGAGUCAUUCUGCUUUUCCUGGAAUACGCGGUUUAAUCCCUAACGAAGUCUCGUGACGAACGAUCAAUGAACCGAUACGUCGCGAAAAGAGACCGACAUCUACUGUUAGCACGUUGCGUUUUGUCUCGACGUUACAGAUCAGCCGCACGGAAAAAGCGAUUUAGAACGUUUACGAAAUAUGUCAUCUAAUCAUCGUAACCGAUUUUACUGGUAAUUGUAUAGGCACGUAAUUGGCGAACGUAUCUUGCACCCGCACUCCUUAACAAUGGAGAAGAUUUCUCCUGUUAUUCUUUACACUCGUUGCUGUUCUGGUUGCAAGCGUUUUCGCAAGACGAUCGUAAAACAAGAAAGAUAAAGAUGGUGAAAGAAGCGCAAUGACUGAUAAGAGGAAGAACAAGGAUAUAUAAAUUAUGCCGUGUAGAAGAUUAAAUAUAUAUUUCACAACGUGGAAUGUAACAUUUAUAAGAACUUUAUCUUUUUUUAUCUUUUUUGGGGAUUUUUAUCUUUUUUCGAUCUUUUCAAACGAAAUGUAAUGACAGCGGCUAAAAAUUUGUUGUCACUCGCUUUAUUAUACAUAUAAACUCUAUUAUAACAAUUAAUAAAUUGAUCUAUCCGCAUUGAUUAUCGAGAAACAGUUCUCGAGCGUACGUCCGUUAUUCAGCUCAUCAUUGUCUUUCUCCCUAUUUGAUAUACCACGUUAGAAAAGUCGGCGGAGAAAUCUUAUUUCCCUUACACGCAUUUUAACACGCAAAUUAAAAAUACCCAUACAAAAACAUUAUCAUGAAAUAAAUAAUAAUAAUAAAUUGUUUUCGAAGCUUCUUCUCUUACACGUCUUGCGUCCACAAUUUGAUAUUUUCUUCUCCUCACACUAGAGCGUAUUAUCAAUCUUUAAUAUGUAUCUAAAUAUAUUACA